UUAGAAAAGCAGUUGAACACUUCAGUGGGGGCUGAAUGGACUUUCCUAAUAGGGACAUGGAAGACAGGGGUGCUGAGGGGGACUUGAACUGUGGAUUCCCAACUCAAGAUGUUUCAGAGAAGAAUUUUAGUAUGUGACUGUGGUGGUUUGGAAAAACAUAACCCUCAAAGGGAGUGACACUAUCAGGAGGUGCCAUUCCUUGUUGGAGGUCACUGUGGUCACUGUGUGGCGGGCUUUGAGGUCUCCUAUCUCAGGCUUCACUCGGUGUGACAGGCAGUCAACUUCUUGUUACGUCUGAGUCAAGAUGUAGGACUCUUAACUCCAGCACCGUGUCUGCCUGCACGCUUCUCUGCUCCUCAUCCCCAUGAAAAUGGGCUGAAUCUCAAAACUGUUGGCUUCUGGAGGAGCCCCACGCAGAUCUCCUGCCCUGCCCUUGCUCUGUGUAAUUUGCAUUGAACCGUCUUCUUUAGCGGGCAUGUAGCUUGUUCGUGAUGGAAGUAAAUUAUUAUGUGUGCCUGGCCUAGGGGGUGUUCGGAGGUGGAUACAUGGAUCAGUUGGAACCAACUAGACAGUAAAGCUCUCCCUGGUGUUUUUUAAUUGCACAAGGCCAUAUAUUUCCUUUUUACCUCAAGCCAAUUUCAGUUGAAUUUCCAUCACACACAAUUUUAAAUGUCCCAAUAAAAUACCUAUUACCUAAUAAAAGCAUCAAGUUCCA